CCUACGGGAGGCAGCAGUGAGGAAUAUUGGUCAAUGGACGCAAGUCUGAACCAGCCAUGCCGCGUGCAGGAAGACGGCUCUAUGAGUUGUAAACUUCUUUUGUACGAGGGUAAACUCAGACACGCGUAUCUGUCUGAAAGUAUCUUACGAAUAAGGAUCGGCUAACUCCGUGCCAGCAGCCGCGGUAAUACGGAGGAUUCAAGCGUUAUCCGGAUUUAUUGGGUUUAAAGGGUGCGUAGGCGGUCGGGUAAGUUAGAGGUGAAAUCCCGAGGCUCAACCUCGGAAUUGCCUCUGAUACUGUUCGUCUAGAGAGUAGUUGCGGUAGGCGGAAUGUAUGGUGUAGCGGUGAAAUGCUUAGAGAUCAUACAGAACACCGAUUGCGAAGGCAGCAUACCAAGCUACUUCUGACGUUGAGGCACGAAAGCGUGGGGAGCAAACAGGAUUAGAUACCCGAGUAGUC
rnacentral:rRNA from 1 species